rnacentral:rRNA from 1 species
UACGUAGGGUGCGAGCGUUGUCCGGAAUUACUGGGCGUAAAGAGCUCGUAGGUGGUUUGUCGCGUUGUUCGUGAAAACUCACAACUCAAUUGUGGGCGUGCGGGCGAUACGGGCAGACUGGAGUACUGCAGGGGAGACUGGAAUUCCUGGUGUAGCGGUGGAAUGCGCAGAUAUCAGGAGGAACACCGGUGGCGAAGGCGGGUCUCUGGGCCGAUACUGACGCUGAGGAGCGAAAGCGUGGGGAGCGGACAGG